UAGGCCACCUCCCCCUAGUUACACCCCCACAUUCCAGCCAGACCCACCACAAUGCACCUCUUGUCUGUUCCUCUUCCUCCUUGCAAUGCAAUGCACCAUCUGUUUGAUGCUCCACACAUGUCUGCCUCUUCAGAAGCUUCUGCGCCUUGACAUGCGUGCCGUCACCGUCAAGCUCGGCCUGGCGAUCGCCCGGACUUGCCAGUUCCCCUAGAGAACGCAGAAGGACAAAGAAUCAGGUUAGUCGAGGGAGAAGCUUGGAGCAGAAAUUGAGACAGCACGGCAAGUUUGUGUUUCAGAAGGAGGCAGGGUUUUCUUUGGCAGAGCAAGCUUGAGGGAGGAGACUGAGACCAAAGAGCUUCUAUAUUGUGGAAAGGGCCAAAGAAGUUGGUUAUUUUUGAGACAGGUUGACACAGUCGCUGUCCUUAAAUCCACUGUGAAGCUAGACAACAAAAUAGUAAAGCAGGAGCACUGGAACAGGGAGUUGCAUGCCACAAUGUCACUUGAACCUACUGUAGCAGUAAAUCACAAAUUACAGCAUCCCCGAUUGCAGUAAAGUCAGGAUGUAACCACCUAGAUGCCACACAGAAAAACAUGAAGAGAAUCCAAAUUCUCUGAACA